AUUGAACGCUGGCGGAAUGCUUUACACAUGCAAGUCGAACGGCAGCACGGACUUCGGUCUGGUGGCGAGUGGCGAACGGGUGAGUAAUGUAUCGGAACGUGCCCAGUCGUGGGGGAUAACGUAGUGAAAAUUACGCUAAUACCGCAUACGAUCUAUGGAUGAAAGCGGGGGAUCGCAAGACCUCGCGCGAUUGGAGCGGCCGAUAUCAGAUUAGGUAGUUGGUGGGGUAAAGGCCCACCAAGCCAACGAUCUGUAGCUGGUCUGAGAGGACGACCAGCCACACUGGAACUGAGACACGGUCCAGACUCCUACGGGAGGCAGCAGUGGGGAAUUUUGGACAAUGGGCGAAAGCCUGAUCCAGCCAUUCCGCGUGCAGGAUGAGGGCCCUCGGGUUGUAAACUGCUUUUGUACGGAGCGAAAAGGUUUCUACUAAUACUAGGAGCUCAUGACGGUACUGUAAGAAUAAGCACCGGCUAACUACGUGCCAGCCGCCGCCGUAA
rnacentral:rRNA from 1 species